rnacentral:rRNA from 1 species
GACGAACGCUGGCGGCGUGCCUAAUACAUGCAAGUAGAACGCUGAAGGAGGAGCUUGCUUCUCUGGAUGAGUUGCGAACGGGUGAGUAACGCGUAGGUAACCUGCCUGGUAGCGGGGGAUAACUAUUGGAAACGAUAGCUAAUACCGCAUAAUAGCAGUUGUUGCAUGACAACUGUUUGAAAGGUGCAAUUGCACCACUACCAGAUGGACCUGCGUUGUAUUGCUAGUUGGUGGGGUAACGGCUCACCAAGGCGACGAUACAUAGCCGACCUGAGAGGGUGAUCGGCCACACUGGGACUGAGACACGGCCCAGACUCCUACGGGAGGCAGCAGUAGGGAAUCUUCGGCAAUGGACGGAAGUCUGACCGAGCAACGCCGCGUGAGUGAAGAAGGUUUUCGGAUCGUAAAGCUCUGUUGUAGGAGAAGAACGAGUGUGAGAGUGGAAAGUUCACACUGUGACGGUAUCUUACCAGAAAGGGACGGCUAACUACGUG